AUAUACGAUUUGAUCAUGGCUUUUAGAUUCGGCUUCAUUUGGUCGUCGUUUACUCGCUUCACCCGUUUGGUUCUCUAACAAACUUGUUUUGCUAUCGUGUUUCUUUCAAGGCAGUUUUAAAUUAACGUAAAACUUCAUCGUGUUUUACUUGGACGCGUCUAUUUUGUCUAUUGAUUUGAAACACCCUUUUGAUUGUGUGAUUAUUCUUUAGAAACAGAAAGUUAUUUAGUUGAAUUUGACAUGGAUCAUCACAUGCCGCCCGGCUACGGCCAGGAGAAUUACAUGUAUGGAGAUCCUUCAAGGUCCUUCCAGGGUAAUGCUGUCGGUAUGUAUGGAUCAGGUGCUAGACCGAUGUCACCUCCUCCAGGUGAUGAAGACAUUCCCGCCCAUGAACAUCUCCCAUCAGCACUUGAAGAAGUCCUUGCUUACAAAGAAUACCGAGUACGAGAAACGGGCCACUCUGGAGAGGUUGAUAACAUUAUUAAUGAAAUCCCUGUCAAAACAGUUAUAGAAACUGAAGGAACUAUUGAAGAGAGGAAAGAUGAUUUCGGUGGGGAAGAAAACCUUGAAGAAAAAACUAAAACUCAAAGAAAUCAAAAGAAGAAAAAGAAGAAGAAGCGCACUAAGAGACAUCAACAGAAAGAAGAAGAAGAAGAAAAUGAAAGGAAUGAUGAUGCUGAAGAACCUCCACAAGUGGAUAUUGAGUAUGUCCAGGAAGAAAUCAUUUAUGACGACAAAAAUCCUUUCUACCGACAGUUUGCCAAAAUCUUCGAAGCAUUUAAAAUCAUUGAUGAAAAAACUGCAAAGAAAGCUGAAGAAGAUGAAGCCAAAAAGAAAGAACUUCAAAGAAGUUUAGAACUUAAGAAGGUCCCCAAGUUUGCAGAAGAGGAAGAUUUGGAGGAGAAAAAGGAAAAUGCUGAUGAUGACAAGCCAAAAGUUUCAAAAAGAAAACUAAAACAACUUACUCGACUAAGUGUGGCCGAUUUGAAGCAAUGUGUUGCCAGACCAGACGUCGUAGAGAUGCACGACGUUACUGCUAGAGACCCCAAACUGUUAGUUCUUUUGAAAGCAACCAGAAAUUCGGUCCCAGUUCCUCGACAUUGGUGUGCGAAGCGCAAGUACUUACAGGGAAAACGUGGAAUAGAAAAGCCUCCUUUCAAUUUGCCCGAUUUCAUCAAAAAGACCGGAAUCAUGGAAAUGCGAGCUGCUUUGCAGGAAAAGGAAGAGUCAAAAACACUUAAAGCUAAAAUGCGUGAGCGUGUUCGACCCAAGAUGGGGCGUGUUGAUAUCGACUAUCAAAAGUUGCAUGACGCUUUCUUCAAAUGGCAAACCAAACCCAAGAUGACGAUUAUGGGUGAUUUAUACUAUGAAGGAAAAGAAUUUGAAACUCGAAUGAAAGACAAAAAACCCGGAGAGUUGUCUGACGAACUGCGAACUGCUCUCGGAAUGCCUGUUGGUCCUAGUUCAAACAAAAUUCCUCCUCCUUGGUUGAUUGCCAUGCAAAGAUAUGGUCCACCACCGUCUUACCCUAACUUGAAGAUUCCAGGAUUGAACGCUCCAAUUCCUGAUGGUUCUUCCUUUGGCUACCAUGCCGGAGGUUGGGGAAAACCUCCUGUCGAUGAAUUCGGGCGGCCUCUGUACGGCGAUGUUUUUGGAUUGACUGGAAUCGCAGGCGAUACAAUUUUACUCGACGAAGAAGUUGAUCGUACCUUGUGGGGUGAACUUGAAUCGGAAGAAGAGGAGGAGGAAGUUGAGGAGAGUGAAGAGGAAGAAGGAGAGGACGAAGAAGGCGCCAUUGAUCAAUCAGGUCUGGUUACUCCUGCAGAAGGACUUGCUACUCCUUCGGGAUUCUCAUCUGUACCUGCUGGUCUGGAAACACCAGAUAUGAUUGAGCUACGAAAGAAAAAGAUUGAAGCAGAGAUGGAGAGUAACGAAACGCCUCAGCUGUAUACCGUCCUUCCAGAAAAGCGAACGGACAGAAUCGGUCAAGCGAUGAUGGGAUCUACCCAUGUAUAUGAUAUCGCUUCAGCUACGACCACUCAGAAGAGUAGUGGUGGUGUGGAACUUAGUUUGGAUCCCUCCGAGUUGGAAGGUUUGGACUCUGAAUCAAUGGCCGCUCGUUAUGAACAAACAUUGCGGGAGCAACAAGGCAACUUGGCUAAGGAAGAUUUCAGUGACAUGGUGGCUGAACAUGCCGCCAAGCAGAAGAGCAAGAGAAAGAGACAACAACAACAGACGGACACUAAACAGGCCAAGAAAUACAAAGAGUUCAAAUUUUAACAUCCCUUUUGAAGCAUUAAAAAUCUUAUACCGCCACAUAUCUCCUCCACACACAAAAGAAGAAAUUCCGAAUCGUCAAGAAUUGCAGCAGUCAUCGUGCUUUUGGAAGGUAAAAAAACGAAACACAUGCUGAUGGAAAGUCGUAUAAAAUAUUAUUAGCCAGUA
rnacentral:misc_RNA from 1 species